CAGCUCUGUCCUCCCUAAUUGUGUCAGAAAGGCAGCCGUGGUGAGAAGGCAGUCUUUGAGCGGCAGUGAAGGAAAGAUUCAUGUGGUUGAAGAAAAGUAAAGAUCACAAGAAAACUCUGUGGUUCCUUAAAAAUGUUUACUGCAGCACUAUGGCAUGAGAGUCAGUCGCUCAGUACACAGUGUGACUCACAUUGUGGUCAGGGAACACCUGUAACACACCCC
rnacentral:lncRNA from 1 species